rnacentral:rRNA from 1 species
UACGGGGGGGGCAAGCGUUGUUCGGAAUUACUGGGCGUAAAGGGCUCGUAGGCGGCCAACUAAGUCAGACGUGAAAUCCCUCGGCUUAACCGGGGAACUGCAUCUGAUACUGGAUGGCUUGAGUUCGGGAGAGGGAUGCGGAAUUCCAGGUGUAGCGGUGAAAUGCGUAGAUAUCUGGAGGAAUACCGGUGGCGAAGGCGGCAUCCUGGACCGAGAUUGACACUGAUGAGCGAAAGCUAGGGGAGCAAACGGG